rnacentral:rRNA from 1 species
CGGCGGACGGGUGAGUAACACGUGGGUAACCUACCUAUAAGACUGGGAUAACUUCGGGAAGCCGGAGCUAAUACCGGAUAAUAUUUCGAACCGCAUGGUUCGAUAGUGAAAGAUGGUUUUGCUAUCACUUAUAGAUGGACCUGCGCCGUAUUAGCUAGUUGGUAAGGUAACGGCUUACCAAGGCGACGAUACGUAGCCGACCUGAGAGGGUGAUCGGCCACACUGGAACUGAGACACGGUCCAGACUCCUACGGGAGGCAGCAGCU